ACACAUGCAAGUCGAACGGAGCAUUGAGAGCUUGCUUUUAAUGCUUAGUGGCGAACGGGUGAGUAACGCGUGAGUAACCUGCCCUGGAGUGGGGGACAACAGUUGGAAACGACUGCUAAUACCGCAUAAGCCCACGAUCCGGCAUCGGAUUGAGGGAAAAGGAUUUAUUCGCUUCAGGAUGGACUCGCGUCCAAUUAGCUAGUUGGUGAGGUAACGGCCCACCAAGGCGACGAUUGGUAGCCGGACUGAGAGGUUGAACGGCCACAUUGGGACUGAGACACGGCCCAGACUCCUACGGGAGGCAGCAGUGGGGGAUAUUGCACAAUGGGGGAAACCCUGAUGCAGCGACGCCGCGUGGAGGAAGAAGGUUUUCGGAUUGUAAACUCCUGUCGUUAGGGACGAUAAUGACGGUACCUAACAAGAAAGCACCGGCUAACUACGUGCCAGCAGCCGCGGUAAAACGUAGGGUGCAAGCGUUGUCCGGAAUUACUGGGUGUAAAGGGAGCGCAGGCGGACCGGCAAGUUGGAAGUGAAAACUAUGGGCUCAACCCAUAAAUUGCUUUCAAAACUGCUGGCCUUGAGUAGUGCAGAGGUAGGUGGAAUUCCCGGUGUAGCGGUGGAAUGCGUAGAUAUCGGGAGGAACACCAGUGGCGAAGGCGACCUACUGGGCACCAACUGACGCUGAGGCUCGAAAGCAUGGGUAGCAAACAGGAUUAGAUACCCUGGUAGUCCAUGCCGUAAACGAUGAU
rnacentral:rRNA from 1 species